rnacentral:tRNA from 1 species
UCCCUGGCAGUCCAGUGGUUAAGAUGCUGCCCUUCCAAUGCAAGGGGGCACAGGUUCGAUCCCUGGUCGGGGAA